GCUGGCGGCAUGCUUAACACAUGCAAGUCGAACGUGAAAGCACUUCGGUGUGAGUAGAGUGGCGGACGGGUGAGUAACGCGUGGGAAUCUACCCAGUAGUGGGGGACAACUACCGGAAACGGUAGCUAAUACCGCAUACGCCCUAUGGGGGAAAGGCUUCGGCCGCUAUUGGAUGAGCCCGCGUCAGAUUAGCUAGUUGGUAGGGUAAAGGCCUACCAAGGCAACGAUCUGUAGCUGGUCUGAGAGGACGAACAGCCACACUGGGACUGAGACACGGCCCAGACUCCUACGGGAGGCAGCAGUGGGGAAUAUUGGACAAUGGGCGAAAGCCUGAUCCAGCAAUGCCGCGUGUGUGAAGAAGGCCUGCGGGUUGUAAAGCACUUUCAGUUGGGAAGAUGAUGACGUUACCAACAGAAGAAGCACCGGCUAAAUCCGUGCCAGCAGCCGCGGUAAUACGGAUGGUGCGAGCGUUAAUCGGAAUUACUGGGCGUAAAGCGCGCGUAGGCGGCUAAGUCAGUCAGAAGUGAAAGCCCCGGGCUCAACCUGGGAAUUGCUUUUGAUACUGCUUAGCUAGAGUUUGGUAGAGGAUAGUGGAAUUUCAGGUGUAGCGGUGAAAUGCGUAGAUAUCUGAAGGAACAUCAGUGGCGAAGGC
rnacentral:rRNA from 1 species